rnacentral:rRNA from 1 species
UACGUAGGGGGCAAGCGUUGUCCGGAUUUAUUGGGCGUAAAGAGCUCGUAGGCGGCUUGGCAAGUCGGGUGUGAAAACUCCAGGCUCAACCUGGAGAUGCCACUCGAGACUGCUAUGGCUAGAGUCCGGUAGGGGACCACGGAAUUCCUGGUGUAGCGGUGAAAUGCGCAGAUAUCAGGAGGAACACCGGUGGCGAAGGCGGUGGUCUGGGCCGGCACUGACGCUGAGGAGCGAAAGCCAGGGGAGCAAACGGG